AGCAUGCAUUGGGACAUAAUGGUAACUUGCAAUUUGCAAUAAAUUGAAUGCGUUCACGAAACCUUGGCUUUCAAGUUGAAAUGAGAAUUGUGUGGAACUCAUUUUUCCCCAUUUUGUGAAAUUCAAUUCAAUUCCAAGGGUUUCCAUUUCAAUGUCUUCCAAUUCUCACAGAGGUGCCUCCUUUUACGGCAAUGCUGCUCCUUACCGAUCCAGAGAGGGGCUUAGCACCCGACCCGUUGCAUCCUCCGAUGAAAUCCAAUUGCAUAUCGAUCCCGGCGUCGACUUCGACGACGAAAUCACCGGUCUUCGUGGCCAAGUUAGAAAAUUGAAAAAUGUUGCUGAAGAGAUAGGUUCAGAAGUCAAGUUUCAGAGAGAUUUUCUGGAACAAGUGAAAAUGGUAAUGAUAAAAGCUCAAGCCGGGGUGAAAAGAAUAACUUAAGAAGAUUGAACAAGAGCAUCGUCAAAAAUGGUUCCAACCAUAUUGUUCAUGUGGUUGUUUUUGCAUUAGUCUGCUUCUUUAUAGUAUACUUCCGGUCAAAGAUGUCCGGCCAAUGAUGGCUCAUAGUUGAAAGAUUUUUAUUCAGGGCCUUCUUCGGAUGACUCACUACGAUGCCUAAUCUUGUACAGAAAAGCUACACUUCCUGUUGCAGUUACAGUUAAAAAUUCUUCGAUUUCAAAGUUAUGUGACUUGGUCGAAGCAGUAGUUUUGUGUAAUACAAAGGAUAACUCGCUUGUUUAAUAGACUGCAAAAUCCUCUUUUCUCUUAAAACUAUCAUGUGAAUAUCUGAUAAAUGUAGUAGUUAAUAGCAUCCUUGAACUUUACUCAGUAAAUGGCACAAUAGAUGAAGCCUCAAAAUGGUGAAGUUAUCUGGUUUGUUUUUGUUGCCGAGUGAAUUGUGAUGCUAAUAGUAAAUGACAUUAAUAUUCACUGGA